rnacentral:lncRNA from 1 species
GCCUCUUUCAGUUUCAUUGAUGCCAGGUGGGAGUAGAUGCUCAGCUACCCGCUGGGCCCGACUGACAGUACCAAAGCAGGAAAAUCAGAGCGUUGCUUGCUUCUGCUGGUGGCAGACAGAAGAUUAGCUCCCUGUUUGACCCUGGAACACCACCAGAUUGCAGGCUUCUCCAACACUCCAUUCAGCUCAUAUGGGAAGCAGAAAGAAAACCCAGGGAACUCACUGCCAUGUUCCUCAAGUCCUGACGUCCUUAGGCAGUCUGCCUUCUUCUUGCCACCUUUGAGAGUCUUCCUACACUUGUUCGUUGUGUUAUGUGCAAGCCUUCAUGAGUUGUAAGAGGGAAAUCCUGGGAAGAAUGCAGCUAGUUCAUCUCGGCUGGAACUAGAACUCUGAAAUUACUUUUUGAAGAUCUGUAAUGAUGUGAGACAUGCUUACUGUUAAGUAAAAAAGAAAGAUAGAAUUUGCAUGUAUUACAUAAUCUCUACCAUGUAAUACAUCUCAAAACUGGGUGGAAAUACACCACCUUGUCAACAAUGCUUAUGACUAAGUUGUGAGAUUAGGUGUAAUUUUAGCUAUCUUCAUGUUAAUGCUUUACUUGUGUAUUCCAAUUUUUCUACUGGGUAUAUACAUAACUUUUACAAAAUAGAGGAAUGUUUUCUUAAAGGCCUUUUAUAUACUUAGUUGUAAUCUCCCGUCCUCUUACUUUUUUCUAUUUUGUCCUAGUUUUGUCCUCUGGAAAUACACAGAAUAAAUACCACCUUUUUCCCCAUGAGACUCCACAGAACAUUCCAUGAAUUCUAAAUUUAUUUAGAGUAAGUAAAUAUGAGCCUCUUCCUCAUUUUCCUCUCAAAUCUUGGCUUUCAGUUUCUUCUUACCAAUAUUCUAUUUAUAGGUCCAAGAGCAUUCUUCUUGGAAGACAAAAUGGAAGUAAACUAGGAACUGGGUCAUGGCUCUUGUUCAUCUCUGCAGGCUGAGUUAGCUGUCUGCCCCCUGUGCACGAGAGCAACCUGCUCACCUCUGUUAGGGCACUCACAACCCGGGCCGCCAAUGUAGGUUCUAUUUCCACCCCCAACCAGAAUAAGUUCCUUGAACUCCUGUCCUAUUUUUCUCUGUACCCGCAACACUUAGCAUAGUGCCUGGCAUAGAACAGGCACUCUGUAAAUGUUGAAUUGGAUGGAUGAGUGGAUGAAUGGAUGGACAUAAAGGAAUUAUAUUUGUUGGAUAGAUGGAUGAAUUAAUCAAUUAACAUCUUCAAUCAGUGCUGUACCACCAGAUCCCCCCAAUUUGAUCACUUUCUCAUUCCAAGCCUUAACAUUUUCCACAAGCUUCUGUGUGUACACAGCUAUGGUCUCCCUGAGGUUUACCUUGCAAAUCCUGAAAACCCUUUGAAAUGUCAUUUUUAUAAGUCCUGGAAUUUUUUUUUUCCCCUGAGGAAGAUUGGCCCUGAGCUAGCAUCUGUUGCCAAUCUUCCUCUUUUGGCUUGAGCAACAUUCGCCCUGAGCUAACAUCUGUGCCAGUCUUCCCCUAUUUUGUAUGUGGAUCACCACCACGGCAUGACCACUGAUGAGUGGUGUAGGUCUGCACCUGGGAAACUGAACCCAGGCUACUGGAGUACACCAAACUUAACCACUAGGCCAUGGGGCUGGCCCCUAUAAGUCUUGCUUUUAAUCUUUUGUCCACUUUUAUAAUAUAUAGUAGGUAGUGAGAUUUUAUGAAUAGGUUUUUUAAUAAAUUGGUUGGAGUAUUUUAGUCAUUUUCAUAAGACUGGCUAAUCAGGUCAAAUAAUUAAUUUUUCCUACCCACCAAGGCAAGCUUAUUACAUUGAGGCAUAUGUUUAUCCAUCAAGUGGCUAUGAACUGACUGAGAAUUAAAGAGACUUAGCUUGUAAAGCUCAGAACCACUGGCUGACGAGUGAAAGACCUUAGCAACAUCCAGGGGUUGGUCAGGAUCCACCACAGGAGAAUCAGCAGGGACUUACAUUCCUGAAGGAGCUCAAGUUUAGACCUUUGAUAGUAUCUCCAAAUAAGAUUCUCUAUACAAUCACAGAGAUACCCCAGAUGGUAUAUUGUAUGUUCUUGUUGUAAAAGCAUUAAUUUGUUAAACAAAAGCAUUUAAAAUAUACCACAAUUUGGAAUUUUGAAAUUUCAUCCAUUUUUAAUAUAUUGGGAACCUCUAAAAACGGAAGUACCUGGGGGCCUUUCUUGAUCUUUAACAACUUAUGGGAAUUGGAACCAGUACUCCCUGAGUUGCUGAUCACAAUGGCUUGGAAUAAUAUGUCCACCAUUAUCACAGUUUGUCCUCUUGGAGAUGUGAGCAAAUGGAACAGUUUUGGAUGAGAAUUCAGACCAAAGAAGGCAUAAUGAAAUUGAAUUUGCUUCUUUGGUCCUAUUCUGCUUCAAGAGAUGCCCUUUGCCUUCACAAGAGCUCCAGUACCUAGAGGGAUGGAAGUAUCUCAGCAGAUUUUCAUCAGAUAAUCUCUUCCUAUAAUGAUCCACAGUUGUUUGCUUAUUUUAGGUGAACACAAACACAAGAGGCUUCCCUCUCCAAACACGUUUUUUCAUACUCCAGAGCAAACAUAUGCCUAACAAACCUUUCCUGUAACGCAGGCUAGUUUUGGCUCUGAAUGCCCUUGUUUCAGUUUAAGAAGGAGGAAAAACUAGGUUCUUCUGGAAGACACAGAUGGUGUAAUAACAUUGUCUGAGGGUACUGCAUUUUUUUUCUUAUUUUUAUAUGUUUUUCUAUUUGGACUUUUAUUAAAAUUGACCUGUUGGAAGAAGCUGUUGAGCCCAGGAAACUUCACCUGGAUGGAGAUAAACAGGACCAUUUGCCG